AACGUAGGAGACGAGCGUUAUCCGGAUUUACUGGGCGUAAAGCGCGUGCAGGCGGUUUAGUAAGUCACUUGUGAAAGCGCCCGGCUCAACUGGGCGACGCCGUGCGAGACUGCUGAACUAGAGAGAGGUAGAGGCGAAUGGAAUUCCGGGUGGAGUGGUGAAAUGCGUAGAGAUCCGGAGGAACACCAGUGGCGAAGGCGAUUCGCUGGGCCUACUCUGACGCUCAGACGCGACAGCAUGGGGAGCGAACGGG
rnacentral:rRNA from 1 species